CCUACGGGGGGCAGCAGUCGAGAAUCAUUCACAAUGGGGGAAACCCUGAUGGUGCGACGCCGCGUGGGGGAAUGAAGGUCUUCGGAUUGUAAACCCCUGUCAUGUGGGAGCAAAUUAAAAAGAUAGUACCACAAGAGGAAGAGACGGCUAACUCUGUGCCAGCAGCCGCGGUAAUACAGAGGUCUCAAGCGUUGUUCGGAAUCACUGGGCGUAAAGCGUGCGUAGGCUGUUUCGUAAGUCGUGUGUGAAAGGCGCGGGCUCAACCCGCGGAUGGCACAUGAUACUGCGAGACUAGAGUAAGGGAGGGGGAACCGGAAUUCGCGGUGUAGCAGUGAAAUGCGUAGAUAUCGAGAGGAACACUCGUGGCGAAGGCGGGUUCCUGGACAGUAACUGACGCUGAGGCACGAAGGCCAGGGGAGCGAAAGGGAUUAGAUACCCGUGUAGUC
rnacentral:rRNA from 1 species